ACGUAUAUCGCUCGAGCCAUGCCCCUUCUUCUUCCCUGUACCACUCUGCAAAGAGUUCUUUGACUUCGGAUGGCCUGCUUGUAUUUUUCAUCGACUUCUCCUUCUUGGGAUUGCAUAUUUAUGAUCUUGUUUUACUUGUCCAAAAGAAGGUGGAUCUGACAAAGUCGGUGUUGAAACAAUAAAAAAGAAGCUUUAAAAAAAACUUACAGAAUUAUAUGAUUAUCUCAAGUAUGAUGCUCCAUUUAGGGAAGGCAACAAGUUCUACUAUUUCAAUAACACCGCUCUUCAACAUCAACAGGUCCUCUAUAUGCAGAUACGCGAUACUAGCGUGCUUUUCAGGUUGCUCUGCUUUGGAGGGCUUAAGAAGACCCUAAACCUGAAUACAAAAGAGCGGAAAAGAUUUGAAGUUUAUGCGUGUGCGAUGGCUGAAAGAAAUUAUACAUUAGAAAUCUGGCGAUUGCUUGACCCAGAAGCACACCUAAUUGAUCAUAAGCAACUAUAUAUCAGCUCAUAUUGUAUCCGUUUACUCAGGUUAUAGGAAGCCUUUGCACAGGGUCUUCCAAGAUCAAAAGUUCCAUCGAGAGAGGUAAAGGUCAUCGAUGAUCGUCUAAAAGUUUGGGAAGACGUAGAUCAACCUUGAGUUCAAGUUGUUCCAGCAUUUCUUCCGUAUUGUGCUCCUCCGGCAGAGAGAAUUUGACGAGAAUCUACCAAAAACAGUCUGUAGACUAUUCUACGAAGAUGAGGUCAAAAAUCUGCCAUUGCCGUGUGAUGUCAGCACCUACUUGAUUCCAGAGCCACGUAGAUCGAGCUAGAAAGCCACGUCAGAUCUGUUAUAUCUCAGGUAGUGAGUUCUCUGGGAUGAAUUUGAGUGCUGGUGCUUAUAUAAAAAGAGGUCAAGGAAAGUGAUAUAUAAAAAAUCAAAGGGGUUUUUCAGAGAUGGGUGAUGUGGCAGAGGACUUGAUAUGAGGGCGACUUUAGAGUUUAGAUGCCAUCAUGGUCAAAUUGCAAAGCCAUCCAAGUAGUAGUAGCUGAAGGCAUAAAGGGUCUUGUCAAAGAACUCAGCAACAUGUUUGUGGAGCUGGAGCUGCAAUUUUUAUUUCCAAUCUGGCUUGCCCAGCUUGAUUGAUGAAUUACAGGUCCGCUUAGGGCCGUAUCUACAAAGCCAUGCAUAGCAGGAGUUUAAGGCAUAUCAAAUACAUGAUGCGGGUCUUCUAAAUUUGGAAAUUUUAGCUCAUGCGACUGUGGGAGACUGCCCUGUGUGUGGCUUGGCUCAGGCAGAUGCAAAUUGAUUGUGAUGCCUUCGCAACUGUCAGAAGCUAAUGAAAUCUGUAAAGCUAUUUUAGACUUCUAAAGGGAGACACAUUCUGCGGUCCAUGCUUUUUGGUGAAGUGGAUAGCAUUUCUUGUUACCUACAUCGGACAACAUAAUCUGCUGCAUAGUCUGGUAAAUUCAGGGUGAAACUACUACUCUCUCUUUCUCAUUCAUUUCUAUACGGUGACAUUGAAGAAAGAUCAGAAACAGUAUUGGCUAUACAAAGACUAGCCUUACAGGUUUAUAGCAUCCAAAGAAUUUGCUGAGGCUCUCCGAUCAUUUUAUGUCUGGAAACAUGUUAAGAAUGGUCUUGCAACCUCAUUUGACAAAGCUAAAAAGCCAUCCUGCUGCUUUUACCAUCCAAAAAUAUGGUAUUAACAAGACGGAACUUAUGAAAGCCUUGACUGCAAGAGAAAUUUUGCUUAUGAAGAGAAGCUCAUUUGCUUACAUAUAUAAAUUGUUUAAAGUGAGUUUUUAAUAUUCAAUUUUUUUGGACAGAUCUCUAUGUCUAAAUAUAUGUGUUAACUUUUAAAGAUAUUAGUAAUGUUGAUUGUGGCAUUUUUGUGGCAAACAAUGUAUACUUGUAAAUUUUUUUCCUGCU